AUGAAGCGCUUCCUGCCGCCGUCCGCCGCGGCGGAGGCGCGGAUGCGGUCGAGCACCUGGCCCUUGCACAUGUUGGGCGGGCAUGUGCCGAGGCCGCAGCCGUGCGGGCCGGCGUGGAAGUCGUGGUGCGGCGCGAUGCGGAGGCGGCCGUCGGCGUCGACGCGGCUGGGGUUGGUGUUGAUCUCGGAGAAGCAGCCCCGGAGGCCGUGGUGGUCGAGGACGGCCUCGAUGAAGAAGCGGUUGGCGUCGCUGAGGACCCGGAGGUCGCAACCGAGGCUGUGGGCGGCCCUGAUGGCGGCGACGACGUGCGGGUCGAUGGGCGCGGCACGGAGCACGUCGGCGACGUCGCGGAGGGUCCUGCCCUGCGCGUGCAGCUCCCCCAUGACGGUGUCGAUGAGGGUGUUCCACGGCAUGGUGGGCAGGAGGCGGUCGAAGAGCUCCGUGGCGCCGAGGCCGUCGACGACCCAGUUGUCGCUGUCGACGUCGAUGAUGGUCUUGUCGAAGUCGAACACCACCACCACGCCGUCCAUCUCGACGUACGGUCCUUCUUCUUGGAUUGGAUUUCGGAGUGGUGUGCGUGCGUGCGUGCCUGCGUGCGGUUUGCCUCGAGUGGUCUUGACGAGGGCUAUAUACUGGCCCGGGACGGGGAGGCGGGAAGAUGCUGAGGGAAUAUUACGAGAUGCCUACGAAUAG
rnacentral:rRNA from 1 species